UGAUCCAUGAAUUCUUUGCUGCAAACGGAUCCAAGAAGCUGAUUUUCUUCUAUCAGGAUGUCAAACAGAGUCUGUCCUCCCGUCAGUCUUCCUUUGUGGACGCAUCAAACUCAGCUGUGGCUCAGAGGAAACUCUUCCUCACUACGGGGAACUCUGAGAGAAGACGUCAAACCCCUUCUUGGCAGUUUAUCUCAAUAAAGCUGUACUAUCCCAGCCAUCUGGUAAGUCUUCCCUACUACCCAGAGCCUGUUUAUACUCCUGCAUGUCUCUGCCUUCACUCACUUCCUCUUCUUGAUGUCCAAACUCAU